rnacentral:rRNA from 1 species
UACGUAGGGCGCAAGCGUUGUCCGGAAUUAUUGGGCGUAAAGAGCUCGUAGGCGGUUUGUCGCGUCUGCUGUGAAAACCUAAGGCUCAACCUUGGGCUUGCAGUGGGUACGGGCAGACUAGAGUGCGGUAGGGGUGACUGGAAUUCCUGGUGUAGCGGUGGAAUGCGCAGAUAUCAGGAGGAACACCGGUGGCGAAGGCGGGUCUCUGGGCAGUAACUGGCGCUGAGGAGCGAAAGCGUGGGGAGCGAACAGG